GACGAACGCUGGCGGCGUGCCUAAUACAUGCAAGUCGAACGACGAGACUUUAACUGAUGCUUGCAUCGACCAAAGGAUCGGAGUGGCGAACGGGUGAGUAACACGUGGGUAACCUGCCUAUCAGAGGGGGAUAACACUUGGAAACAGGUGCUAAUACCGCAUAACAAUCAUAACCGCAUGGUUAUGAUUUGAAAGGCGCUUCUGGUGUCACUGAUAGAUGGACCCGCGGUGCAUUAGCUAGUCGGUGGGGUAACGGCCUACCGAGGCGAUGAUGCAUAGCCGACCUGAGAGGGUGAUCGGCCAUAUUGGGACUGAGACACGGCCCAAACUCCUACGGGAGGCAGCAGUAGGGAAUCUUCGGCAAUGGACGGAAGUCUGACCGAGCAACGCCGCGUGAGUGAAGAAGGUUUUCGGAUCGUAAAGUUCUGUUAUUAGAGAAGAACACGUGUAAGAGUAACUGAUUAUGCGUUGACGGUAUCUAAUCAGCAAGUCACGGCUAACUACGUGCCAGCAGCCGCCGUAAC
rnacentral:rRNA from 1 species